UCCGAAUUGGUGUAGUGGCUAACAUUUGACGCUCUCAUGGUACAAACAUAAGAUCCGUCAAGCCCGGGGUUCGAUUCCCCGAUUCGGAG
rnacentral:tRNA from 1 species